rnacentral:tRNA from 1 species
AGAGGAGUGGCCAAGUGGUAAGGCGUUGAUCUCGUAAACCAAAGAUCAUGGGUUCAAUUCCCAUCCACGCCUUGA